UGAGGUUGUGGCCUUGAGCCGUGGCUUUCGGAGCUAACGCGUUAAAUCGACCGCCUGGGGAGUACGGCCGCAAGGUUAAAACUCAAAUGAAUUGACGGGGGCCCGCACAAGCGGUGGAGCAUGUGGUUUAAUUCGAUGCAACGCGAAGAACCUUACCUACUCUUGACAUCCACAGAAGACUUCAGAGAUGAGGUUGUGCCUUCGGGAACUGUGAGACAGGUGCUGCAUGGCUGUCGUCAGCUCGUGUUGUGAAAUGUUGGGUUAAGUCCCGCAACGAGCGCAACCCUUAUCCUUUGUUGCCAGCGAGUAAUGUCGGGAACUCAAAGGAGACUGCCGGUGACAAACCGGAGGAAGGUGGGGAUGACGUCAAGUCAUCAUGGCCCUUACGAGUAGGGCUACACACGUGCUACAAUGGCGCAUACAAAGAGAAGCGAACUCGCGAGAGCCAGCGGACCUCACAAAGUGCGUCGUAGUCCGGAUUGGAGUCUGCAACUCGACUCCAUGAAGUCGGAAUCGCUAGUAAUCGUGGAUCAGAAUGCCACGGUGAAUACGUUCCCGGGCCUUGUACACACCGCCCGUCACACCAUGGGAGUGGGUUGCAAAAGAAGUAGGUAGCUUAACCUUCGGGAGGGCGCUUACCACUUUGUGAUUCAUGACUGGGGUGAAGUCGUAACAAGGUAGCCG
rnacentral:rRNA from 1 species